rnacentral:rRNA from 1 species
UGGGGAAUAUUGCGCAAUGGGGGAAACCCUGACGCAGCGAUGCCUCGUGAGCGACGAAGUCUUUCGGGAUGUAAAGCUCUGUCAAGAAGAACGAUAGUGACGGUACUUCUAGAGGAAGCCCCGGCUAACUACGUGCCAGCAGCCGCGGUAAUACGUAGGGGGCGAGCGUUAUCCGGAUUUAUUGGGCAUAAAGGGCAUGUAGGCGGUAAUUUAAGUCAGACGUGAAACACAACGGCCUAACCGUUGGUGGCAUUUGAUACUGAAUUACUAGAGAUCAGGAGAGGAAAGUGGAACUCAUGGUGUAGCGGUGAAAUGCGUAGAUAUCAUGAGGAACACCAGUGGCGAAGGCGGCUUUCUGGACUGAUUCUGACGCUGAGAUGCGAAAGCGUGGGGAGCAAACAGG